rnacentral:snRNA from 1 species
GGGUUGAGGGUGAUCUGGCUGCGGCAUUUGUCACUCCGUUGAUUGUCAGGAUUGAUUUGACUGAUCUGACUACUUAGAUAGGCUUCACCAUCUUCCCUCAUUGUUCCAUAUGUAUCUCUCUUGAAGUUGUGUAUAUUGUGGAAGAGAACAAUCAUCCCAGUUAGGAGUGUACCACUCUUCAGUCAAGGGUAUACAACAA